rnacentral:piRNA from 1 species
CAUAUGAAUGUAGCCACUCUGGCCUGG